GACGAACGCUGGCGGCGUGCUUAACACAUGCAAGUCGAGCGGUAAGGCCCCUUCGGGGGUACACGAGCGGCGCACGGGUGCGUAACACGUGAGCAAUCUGCCCAUCACAUCGGGAUAACUCCGGGAAACCGAAGCUAAUACCGAAUACGACCACCUCCGGCAUCGGAUGGUGGUGGAAAGUUCCGGCGGUGAUGGAUGAGCUCGCGGCCUAUCGGCUUGUUGGUGGGGUAACGGCCCACCAAGGGUUCGACGGGUAGCCGGCCUGAGAGGGUGACCGGCCACACUGGGACUGAGACACGGCCCAGACUCCUACGGGAGGCAGCAGUGGGGAAUAUUGGACAAUGGGCGAAAGCCUGAUCCAGCAACGCCGCGUGAGGGAUGACGGCCUUCGGGUUGUAAACCUCUUUCAGCAGGGACGAAGCGCAAGUGACGGUACCUGCAGAAGAAGCACCGGCCAACUACGUG
rnacentral:rRNA from 1 species